rnacentral:rRNA from 1 species
UACGUAGGGUGCAAGCGUUGUCCGGAAUUAUUGGGCGUAAAGAGCUCGUAGGCGGUCUGUCGCGUCUGCUGUGAAAACUCGGGGCUUAACCCCGGGCCUGCAGUGGGUACGGGCAGACUAGAGUGCGGUAGGGGAGACUGGAAUUCCUGGUGUAGCGGUGAAAUGCGCAGAUAUCAGGAGGAACACCGGUGGCGAAAGCAGCUCUCUGGGACGGUACUGACGCUGAGACGCGAAAGCGUGGGGAGCGAACAGG